rnacentral:misc_RNA from 1 species
AAGUCGUAACAAGGUUUCCGUAGGUGAACCUGCGGAAGGAUCAUUAAUGAAUGCAAGGAUGCUCUCUUUAGAGGUCCGACCCAUUUUUAAUCUUACACCGUGAACCAACUAUUUUUACACCUCUUUUAAACACUUUAAGUUUAUUGAAUGUUUUAAAGUCUCUUUAUUGAGCAUUAAAGUUAUAAAA